AAACUUGAUGUUGGUAAUGGAGAGUCGCUUUGUGGAGUGUGAUUGUGUUAGUAUUAAAAUUUAUAGAAGUUAUAAAGAGUCCACUUGUGGAGCGGUUAUUAGCUAUUGUGAAGUGAAAUACAGUGAACACUAGUAAUUAAAGAGACACUUGAGUGACCCUUGGUUAUUGAUAAGAUUGUAAAGAAGGUUUAUAAUGUGUCUGGUUAUUUUGUUUGUUGUGGCUUAGUGUAAAAGUAUUUACCCUUUGAGAUGUGUUAUGGAGGUAGAAAGGUGUAGGAAGAACAGUCCCUUAAUAUUUCGAAUACGAGAGGAAAUGAUAUAGUGGAGACAUGUAACGUGUGAGAGAGUGUGUAUGACGUAGUUGGUAUGUGCGUGAUGUGGAGGUUUAUGAAGUUGGAGUAACGUGGUAAUUAGAAAUGAUGAAGGUAAUGAAUUAGUGAUGUUCUGGUUUUCGAAAGAAUGGAAUAACCGAUGGUGUAUGGUUUGAAGUAGAUUUAAAAACCUGAGUAUGGUGAAGUUGAUGUUAAAUUUUGUAAAGGUGGUAUAAUAUGAGGUUGAAGAAUGGUGCAGAGAAGAAAAAAUAAAGGCUGUGUCAGUGUAGAGAUUAAUGUUUAGAUGAGGAAAUAAAACAGUACCCCAGAGAAAAUGUAAAAAAGUUAGGAAUGAGAUGUGGUAGUGAAGAGGUGUGAUGAAGUGAAGUCGAAUUGCUGAGUGUGGUGGUGAAUGGUUUGUGAACUAAUGUUGCCUUUGUACGUCCUGCCUACAAGAUUUGAGUUUGGACAGUUAGUGAUAUGGUGAUCUAGUAGUGUGUGUGACUUGACGAAAUGAUAAUCCAUAGAGGGAAUAUGUAUUGUCCCAGAGAGUAAAAUAUCCUUAGAAAUUGGUACAGAGAUGUACGAAUAGAAGACCAAUCAAAUAUUAAUUCACUUUGGACGAGGUAGCGAGAAUGAGGGAAUUGAAAGCGAGUAUAGAAAGU